UUCUCGUCCCAAGGCACGGUGAGACCCUGAGGAGCUGGAGUUGAUUGCCAGCUUUGAGAAGUCCCACCCAGGUCAUCCUGCCAUGAAUCAAGCUAUCCUGAGGGAGGUGCUGCUCCACCGUACCCUGGACGCCAUCAAGGGCUAGAGGAGGCACCCCGACUACCAAGCUAUGGUCCAGGCUGUUGUGGAGCAGUCCGAGUCGGCGCCAAGAGUGCCUCCUCUUCCGCACCCCCUGGAUGUGUGCCGGCCCAACCUUGACCUCAGCCCAGGGAGCACUCCACCACCAUCAACGGAGGACCCUGGCGCCGGAUCCUCAACCGGUCGUAUCUCAACAUUUGGUCCUAAAUCCGCCAUUGUGGUUGCAAGUUCUGCCCUGUGCGAUGUUCAAAAAACGUCCUAGGCGCCAUCUUGUGACGUCAGGUCGCCCCUCAGCCUGACUGCUCGGAAGCGGGGCUAGAUCCGACCAGUUCCGUCCUAACCCGUCGCCAUUAAAGGAGUGUUUCCGCCUCAUCCACAUCUCCACCUCUAUACACAAUAUAAGAUGGAGCUUGUUGCGGCAUAUAUUUUCAAUCACAGACUGUGCAGGGAAAGGAGAUAUCGGGAUACACUCGACCCACUACAUGUCAGUGAUGAACACCUGGUGCAGGUGUAUAGAUUUCCCCGUCAGGAAAUAAUCAGGCUCUGUGAUGAGUUGCGCCCCCACCUGGAAAGGAGAACCAGGAGGGCACAUGCACUCCCAACACACACCCAGGUUCUGGCUACACUAAGGUUUUUGCGAGUGGCAGCUUUCAAGGUGUUAUUGGAAACGGUGUUGGAAUGGACCAAUCAAGGGCCAUUGAUAAAGUAACUCAGGUACUUUGUGAAAAGGCCAGUCAUGAGAUAAAGAUGUCAACCACAGCAAUAGAUAUAAUAGAAUUUUUAAGAUAGUUUUCAUGCAUUUCAUAAUGAUAAAUAAUGGAUUAAUGAAUUUUCAACUUCACAGGAGACAGUGCAUAUCCUCUGGAGCCAUUCCUGAUGACCCCAGUUGCACGCCCGACAACACCUGGGGAGGAACGAUACAACAAGCCCUCGCAGGACAAGAUGCGUUGUCGAACGGACCUUUGGGAUCCUCAAGUCAAGGUGCAGGUGCCUACAUAAGUCAGGAGGAAGUUUGCAGUAUGACCCCAAGAAGACUACGAAGAUUGCGACUUCUUGUAUGCUCCUGUACAACUACUGAGUGGAUCGCUGCAGAAGAAGUACCAGUUCAGCCUGUGAGAAACAACAGACAGAUUCCUGGUCAAGUUGUCAGGCAGGAAAUUAUUAGAAACUUCUUUUCCUGAGUACAGAUUGCGUAUGGUGCACCGGUGGGAGUGGUCAGCGUGUGUACGUGGUGAUCCAGAGGACUCGACUCCCACUGCAAGACUCUGAGAGUUUUCAACCAUUGACAAGUGACGGAGGGUUACCAACAUGCUGCCUAACAGAUCUUCAGUCAACCCUAACUUCAGUGUCUUUGAUCAAGAGGGGCACCACCUCCACACCACACAUUCUUAUCACCUAGUUUGAUACCCUACUUGUCCAUCUCACAUGGCCCAUGUAUCUCAGCAUUCUGCACUCUUGGCUCCAUGUCAUCCUCUUCAACUUGUUGCUUCGAAUAGCAUAACUGGCCUCACAUACAUAGAAGUGUUCAAUAUACCUAGGCUAUAAUAUUAUAUUUAAGGACUCUUAUACGAGGUAUCGCGCCAGACAGAGGUGUCGAAGUAAGUGUGUCUGAUGGUAGGCUGGCUGACUGCUGUCGGGACCCAAGCCAGCAUGCCCUGGGGGUUGUGUGCGGGAGGAGGAAAGAGGGUAAAGGACAAAUGGUGUGUGUGUCAUUAUCAGGGGUAACCACGGUGGAGCGCAAACACUCGGUAGUUGUAGUCAAGGCUUAAUUAAGUUGAUGAGUGAUGUUAGACUGAGUGAGCAGGUUUUUUACCAAAUGUUAGUGGGAACACUUGAUAGUGUUGUGCUGGAAGCUUCCCCCGGGGUCUAUGGGACUCCGGAAGGCUCCGGGAGGAGCGAGUAGAGGGGCGGGGAGCAAGGCCCCGCCCGCGCCCCGCGGCCAGGCACGAAGUGUUGCCAACUCGCACAUAUUUUUGCUACAUGUUCUUGUAUAAUCUAAUAUAUACUGUAACGUUCUAGACUGUACUGUUCGGUAUGGAUAGGAGAAGAGGGCGAGAGGAGUUAGUCCCAGUCAUAGUAAGCUAGUGGUCAGUGAAGAGUCAAGAGUGAAUUGUACAACUAAGGAAGAAUAUUAAACUACAGAAGCUGUGCAAGGUGUUUCCAUAUCUCCCUCCCACGGAGUCUCCUGACGGCGACACGGAACCCAAGUAACACGUCCGGCAUAACAAUAGGUUUUCUUCGUGUGUUGGUGCUACUUGUUUCUUGUGUUUACAUGUUAGUUUAUAAUUAGACUAAGUUCUAAGUGUUAUGAGCGACAAUUUAGUCUUGUAUGGCUGAAUCCUGUCCCUUGAC